AUUAAACGCUGGCGGCAUGCCUUACACAUGCAAGUCGAACGGCAGCACGGGGGCAACCCUGGUGGCGAGUGGCGAACGGGUGAGUAAAGCAUCGGAACGUGCCCUGGAGUGGGGGAUAACGUAGCGAAAGUUACGCUAAUACCGCAUAUUCUGUGAGCAGGAAAGCAGGGGAUCGCAAGACCUUGCGCUUUGGGAGCGGCCGAUGUCGGAUUAGCUAGUUGGUGGGGUAAAGGCCUACCAAGGCGACGAUCCGUAGCGGGUCUGAGAGGAUGAUCCGCCACACUGGGACUGAGACACGGCCCAGACUCCUACGGGAGGCAGCAGUGGGGAAUUUUGGACAAUGGGCGCAAGCCUGAUCCAGCCAUGCCGCGUGAGUGAGGAAGGCCUUC
rnacentral:rRNA from 1 species